GCUGAUCUUGCUGGCUAGGCGGGUGUCCCCUUCCUCCCUCACUGCUCCAUGUGCGUCCCUCUAGAAUCUGUGUGCUCCGUAGAAAAGGACGACCUUCCCCAAAUAGAGGAGGACCGGUCUUCUGUCAAGGGUAUAUGAGUAGCUGCGCUCCCCUGCUAGAACCUCCAAACAAGCUCUUAAAAACUGUUCUUAAAUCCCUUAAUUUUUCUGUAAUAUUGAAAAUCAAAAUACAUUUUAGGCCUUUAAAACCAUUAUCAUCUGGGUGACUGUU
rfam:Mesocricetus auratus contig022614, whole genome shotgun sequence.